rnacentral:rRNA from 1 species
GUCGAACGGCAGCACAGAAGAGCUUGCUCUUUGGGUGGCGAGUGGCGGACGGGUGAGUAAUGUCUGGGAAACUGCCCGAUGGAGGGGGAUAACUACUGGAAACGGUAGCUAAUACCGCAUAACGUCGCAAGACCAAAGUGGGGGACCUUCGGGCCUCACACCAUCGGAUGUGCCCAGAUGGGAUUAGCUAGUAGGUGGGGUAAUGGCUCACCUAGGCGACGAUCCCUAGCUGGUCUGAGAGGAUGACCAGCCACACUGGAACUGAGACACGGUCCAGACUCCUACGGGAGGCAGCAGUGGGGAAUAUUGCACAAUGGGCGCAAGCCUGAUGCAGCCAUGCCGCGUGUAUGAAGAAGGCCUUCGGGUUGUAAAGUACUUUCAGCGGGGAGGAAGGCGGUGAGGUUAAUAACCUCGCCGAUUGACGUUACCCGCAGAAGAAGCACCGGCUAACUCCGUGCCAGCAGCCGCGGUAAUACGGAGGGUGCAAGCGUUAAUCGGAAUUACUGGGCGUAAAGCGCACGCAGGCGGUCUGUUAAGUCAGAUGUGAAAUCCCCGGGCUUA